AGAACACUGAGAACACACAUAUUUUUGACUUCCUGUUGUCGCUCCUCCCGCUGAGGAGCCCAAAGUGAAAGCAAACAUUUGUCCUGUGACUCCGCCAUCAGCGUCUCCGGUGUUGGUCGAGAUUCGUGUUUCCCCGUCAGGUGUCAACAUAAUGUCAACAUCAAUGUUAAUUCCUUACUUUGACACUAAAUGAGGAAGUGACGGCGGCGCACAGCAAACAGGGGCCGCACGCCAUUUGUCUUUCCUGCCGCUCCUCUCCCUUCAAAAUCAACAGUUUAAAGGUGUCGGCUCGGCUAUGGAGCCAUUUGGGAGAAGAAUGAAGGGGCUCCCUGCCUCUGAAAGCUCUCUGUCUGGGGAACAUGACAGCCAGACCAAAGCUAAGAGGAUCCAGCAGGAGAGACCAGACUCCCCUGGACCUGGACCUGAGCCCAGCUGUGUGUCCAUGAAGAGUGACCACUCUAUGGAUAAACCUAUUGGGUUCA